UACGUAGGGGCCGAGCGUUGUCCGGAGUUAUUGGGCGUAAAGCGCGCGCAGGCGGCCUCGCGCGCCCGACGUGAAAGCCCCCGGCUUAACCGGGGAGGGUCGUUGGGGACGGCGGGGCUUGAGGGCGGGAGAGGUCGGUGGAAUUCCGGGUGUAGCGGUGGAAUGCGUAGAGAUCCGGAGGAAGACCGGUGGCGAAGGCGGUCUGCUGGGCAGUUUCUGACACUGAUGCGCGACAGCGUGGGGAGCAAACAGG
rnacentral:rRNA from 1 species